GGUCCCUGGGUGAGAAAAUUGGUUUAAACAAGGUUAUUCUCAAUCAUCUUAAGAUGUUCUGUGCUUUGGUAAAGUGAUAAGUAUAAAUACACAACCGAUCAAAAAGAUAGGGUAAGUGUCGAAAGGAUUUUACAAACAAGACCGGUGUAAGCAAAUAAUGAAGGAUAGAAUUAAAAGGGAGAGAAUGAUCCUGCAGGGAAAGCAGGGCACACAGCAGACUCAUAGAAUGGCAAACAUCCACAACAGCACUCCGGCCUCAGAAUCAACCCUUGGGGCAUUCGGAUCUUGCUAAAAGGCCCAUGAGAGUCUCACAGGCAUGGAAAUCCACGACAUGGUGGCAAAAACAAUCUAAAUGAAAGAUCCUGGUGAACAAGACCUCAGCGGAAGGAACAGGCCAUCAAGGAGGGAGGCGCCUUUCUCUGAAGGGAGGAAGGAACCUCCACUGUGAUAUGGCCUUGACUAAACAAAUUCAGAGUUGGUGAACUCAAGGGGCUUCCAUAGCCUAGACAGCUCAGGGCAAGAGCCUCGGGUGAUUGCUGACGUCAUAAAUAAGAGUGCCAAUUGUUAAAUCAACAAUGGGAGUCACUGGGUACAGGCUCCCCACGUAGGAUCUCUGUCCUUAAUGUGUUUUACUAUGAAACUUAAAGACAACACUACUAGUUGAACAAUACCCUAUACCUUGUGUGGUUAUGUGAGGGCAGCCUGUUGAAAUCCUUGCUUAGUAUAUACUAAGUUGAUCUUCAGUAUAUGAAGGACUAAAGUGACCCAAGGGAGCUUGACUGGGGAAAUGCAGAAUGAACAUGACAUAGCAGGAGCUAGAUAACUUAUUUUGUUAUUCACAUCCACUAAUAUACCGGGGGAUCCUAGCCAGUGCAUUAAGAACUUGCAGCCUGAGAGUGUAGACGGAAGGAAAUAGUUGAGUUCUCUUUGAGGGAAGGAAUGUACCUACGCAAAAUUUCUUUCAGUUAGUUCACAGGUUUCCCCUUUGGUGCUUAGUUAGUUGUCACCGAUCAGGGAGAACAUAUGGGUUCCAAGAGCAUGACUCCAAUGUGCAUUGCCUUUUGCCAAAGUGACCAUGCAGUCCCCAGAGGCAGCAAGGUGCAGGAACAAGGGCAAACCUUCCAGCUUCCAAGGCCAGGUGCUGGACAUAUUCAGAUAUGUGAAAAAAAUACAAAGAAAAGGAAUGAGGAGAUCAUAUAAUAAUCAGUAGAAAUGUCUAAUGGGUGCAAUGAUGUAAGUAACAUAAGUGGUUGCAUGCAGAGUCGAAACGAAAGUGGGGCCGAUAACAAUAUAUUAUAGCUGUGUGUUUGGACAAAUCCAUUCUCUAGCUGAAAACACCAAAAGUCAAAUAUUUACUUGCUAUAACUAGCCUACAGAACAUGACAACUUAGCAACAUAGUACACUAAAGAAAGGGAAUUAUUUGUCCUCUUGAUCAGGAGCUCAAUGUUUCUGUUCAGCAUCAGAGGAGAGUAUAGUAAGAUACAUCAGCAGCCUUGGAAGGAAAUUUAGAUAUUUUAUUGAGGGGUUGACGCCAUGGCUCACUUGGUUAAUCCUCCACCUGUGGCGCUGGCAUCCCAUACAGGCGCUGGGUUCUAGUCCCGGUUACUCUUCUUCCAGUCUAGCUCUCUGCUGUGGCCCCAGAGGGCAGUGGGAAGGAUGGCCCAAGUGCUUGGACCCCUGCACCUGCAUGAGAGAUCAGGAGGAAGCACCUGGCUUCUGGCUUCGGAUAGGCAUAGCUCCGGCCAUAGUGACCAUUUGGGGGGUGAACCAACAGAAGGAAGACCUUUCUCUCUGUCUCUCUCUAUCUCAAUAUCUAACGCUAUCUGUCAAAUAAAUAAAUAAAAAUAAUAAUAAUAAUAAUAAUAAUAAAAAGAUAUUUUAUUGAAUGAGCAUUGCUUUUGCAUCACUACAAAAUAAUAAAAAGAGUCAGUUGUACCAUCAUAAAUUUUGGCAAUCUGUAUUCAAUGUGUUAAUAUUACCAUUGGGGUGGGGAAAAUCUCAGCCUGCAGAACGUAUAAGGCCCAAAAAAACCAUUUGGCCUGGUCCUGCCAAGCAAACCACUGGUGGAACCCAAAAUUUAGUAAAUCUAUAGCAGGCUAAUUUUUAAGUUGAUAAUUUUGUAUGGCUUGUGAGUAAUGUUAUAAACAUCCAAAUUCCCCAUUGCUUUAAGAUGCUCUGUUUCUUCCAGUAGACUAUAAAGUCCCCUAGUGUAGAGCAUUUUCCUCUCAUCUGAUCUGGAUGCCAAGCAUGGUGCAUGGCUUCUUAAACCAUCUGGUAAUCAAUUAUUACAGCUUUUGUAUAACAUAUCCAUACUAAUGGAAUUUGCAGACUCAAGAGCAAAAGACAAAUAAAUAAUUAUAACAUCCAAUGGAAUUUUUUAUGAUAGGGGAAAUACAAGAUUCAGUGGGAAAAAAACAUGAGAGAUGCUUUGGAAGAUGUCCUGAAGCAAAUUACAUCUAAAUUGAGACCAAAACAUGCUAAGUAGAAAAUUACCCAGCUGAGUGGGACAAGGCGUAUUCUAAAAAGAGGAGUAACAUGAAAGGGGAGUUUCAAUUUAGAAACAACAUGCAUAAUCAGGGAACUAAGAGAAAUGUGGCCUGACAAAAAUACAGAUCAUAAGGAAGGAAAGAAAAGCCUAGAGAAGUUCAAAAACUACAUUAAGGAAUUUAGGAAUUAAACUAAAAGUAAUAGGAACCACUUGACAUCUAGGAGAAACGAGAAUGGAAACAGAACAAAGUCCUUGAGGAUGGCAGAAGUAGGUGAAGGAAGACACUGUUUAACAAAGAAAUGAUUUAAAAAAUUGAAAUCUUGUCUUUUGCAACAAAAUGGAUUCAGCUAGAGACCAUUAUUCUCAGUGAAAUAAGCCAGUCCUAAAAUGAGAAGUAUCAUAUGUUUUCCCUGGUUUGUGGUAACUAAUAAUGUAGAGUACUCUAGGAAUGAAAUUAACAUUUUGAGAUUUGAUCAUUGUUUAUAGCCCUGUCAAAAAUCUCAGGGAACAGUGGCUUUUCUACCAGCUGCUUGUUGAAUUCUUGCUUUGGUGGAGGGUUAGGCUUCUGAGUAUUAAGUUAAUUGAAAGUAUGUCAUUGUGAAAGCUAAAAGAAAAAGAAGAAUAAGGAGGGUACAGGUGGGGAGAGGGAGAAGAGUGGGGAGUAUCCUGCUCUUAAAAUCGUAUAUAUGAAAUACAUAAAUUUGUUCCCUUUAUAUAAAUUUUAAUAUAUAUAUAUACACAUAAGAAAGGGAUUAUUCACAACAAAAGGAAGGAAAUAUAGAUAUGAUAUGAUUGAAGGUACAUUUAUUGUUUUAGAUAUCACUAUAUUGUGAGAGUACUCACUCUAUGGCUUCUAUUUUUUCUUGGAAAGAAUAAAUGAGGUCAUAGUCUCAGAACUAAGGAGAAGAUAGCACAGUCAGGGGUUUACAAGGAACAAAAACGUUAGAAAUAGUCUUUGUGGAGCACACAAAUGACAGCUGAGUCAGGAAACACUGAAAUAGUUCUUAGGAGGCUUUGAAGUUUGAAAAUAAAAGUGUGUUUCUACAUUUGUUUGAUUUCUUUCUCCAGAAGUACAAUAGCAAAGAACAGAAUAUUUCAAAGAUAGAUCAAUCAAGGAUUGGGAACUCAGUAAUUUCUUUUAUUGAGUAAUAAAUAAAUGAACCAAUAAAUUAUACAUAAAGCUUUUAUUGUAGUGAAAAACAGCACUCUAAACCAAAGAAAAUGGGGUACUACCACGAAACCUUUGCAAUGAUUUGAAUAAACCAUUAUUUCAGAAAGGUAUGCCUGGUGGGAACAAGAAGGAAAGUUCAGAAUGACAUAUAGAGUGUUCAGGGAUGAGUCAAUUGAUUAUUAACAAGUUCUCAUGUGAAAUGACAAAUUUCUGAGGAUGCCAGUAAGAAUGGGAAAAGAAAAACACCUCUAUUUUUGUUCCCGAGUUUCAUUCUGAAAAUUUCCAAGUACAAAAUGUAUAAGACUGCUUUAGAUAUUUGGGGUCUCUUGUGGUUCCAUAUGAAUUUUAGAAUUGUUAUUUUCUAGAUCUGCGAUGAAUGUCCUUGGCAUCUUGAUUGGGAUCACAUUGAAUACGUAAAUUGCUUUCAGUAGUACGGACCUUUUGAUGAUAUUGAAUCUCCCAAUUCAUGAACAUGGAAGAUUUUUCCAUUUUUAAGAGUCUUCUAUUUCUUUCUUUAACGCUUUUGCAGCCUUCAUUGUAGAGAUCUUUGACCUCCCUGGUUAAAUUUAUUCAGUUAUUUUAUUCUUUUUUUUUUUUUUUUUUUUGUAGCCAUUGUGAUUGGGAUUGAGCUUAGAAGUUUUUUCUCAGCCAUGGCAUUCUCUGUGUAUACAAAGGCUAUUAAUUUUUUUGUGUUAAUUUUAUAUCCUACCACUUUACGAAAUCAUUUUAUGAAUUCCAAUUGUCUCUUAUGGAGUCUUUUGGAUCCCUUAUAGAUAAAAUCAUGAAUCUGUAAGUAUGGAUAGUUUGGUUUCCACCUUUCCAAUUUGUAUCCCUUUGAUUUCUUUUUCUUUUCUAAUGGCUCUUUACAUAUUUCUUUCUUUUUUUUAAAUAAAAAAGCUUUAUUUAUUUAUUUGAAAGGCAGAGUUACAGAGACAUGGAGGCACAGAAAGAUCUUGUAGCCACUGGUUCACUCCCCAAAUGGCCACAACUGCUGGCACUAGGCCAAUUGGAAGCCAGGAACUUCUGGAUAUCCCACAGGGGUGCAAAGGCCCAAGUACUUGGGCCAUCUUCUUCUGCUUUCCCAAGCCAUAGCCCAGAGCUGGAUUAGAUAUAGAGCAAAUGGAUCUUGAAACAGCAUCCAUAUGGGAUGCUGGUACCACAGGGGCAGCUUUACUGCUAUUCCACAGCACUGGGCCCCCUUUGCCUAUUUCUUUACUUGCUUGUUUUGUUGUUAUUGUUGUUGUUUGAGUUCUUUGAGCUUAGAUUUGAUACUAUAAUAUCAUAUAACAUAGUAUAAAUAUAUAUAGUAUAAUAUACAUAGUAUAUAGUUAAUGUAGUAUAAGAUAAAUAUUGUAUAAUAUAGUAUAAAUAUAUUUGAGAAAUUUGAAAUUAAUAAAAUUGAUAAACUUUGAACUCAAGAAUAAGUAAUAAUAAAUAGAGGGAACACAAAUGUUUGAACAUCAGUAAUCAGAGAGGUUAUUAUUAGAAUCACAUGAAUCUGCAUUAUCCACCAUGGCUAGCCUUAUAUACAUGCACGUAUGUAAAUUUAAUUCAAUUAAAGUUAAUCUGUAAAAGUUUAGUUUCUCAUUUGCACUAGCCUCAGUAGCCACGGCUGGCCAGAGACCCCCAUACUGGUUAAUAGAACAGACAGUUCUAUUGGACAGUGUUGCCAUUAAAGGGAAAAUAGAGAAUGUUAUAAACAAGUUUAUAUUAGCAAAUUUAACAACAUAUGGAGACAAGUCUAUAAGUAAUAUGAUUUACCAAAACUGACUUAGGAUGAGAGAAAAUCUAAAUAGCUUAUACGUGUUAAUUAAAAAUUGAUAAAACUAUAUGACUUAGUUAUUCUAUUCAUGGAAAUAAGUCCAAAGGAAAUGAAAUUAUCGUAUGAAAGAUCUACCUGGGUUGUAAUAUUUAUAGAAGCACAAUUCACAAUAGUGAAGAUUCUGAAUCAACUAUAAAAAAAAGAAGGAAAUCCUGACAUUUACAGCAAAAUGGAUGUAAUUGGAGAUCAUUAUGCUAAGUAAAAUAAGUCAAACCCAGAAAGGCAAGUCUCAUGUUUUUUCAUAUUUGUGGGAGCAGACUUAUCAUUCAGUGUCAAGUUAUAAAUAUUACUUCACUGAAUCAGACCAUAUAAAUAACAAUACAUUUCUCUUUCUCAAUAUUAUGAUCAUUGUUAUGAAUCCCUCAUUCUGAUAUUAACCUGUUUUCAAGAGAAAAUAGUAUAUUUGUAUAAGUAUAUAAUGUCUUAUUUGAAUUGAAUGUGGCAAAUGU